rnacentral:lncRNA from 1 species
UAAUUUUAAUCUCUCAUUUCUCUUUUGGAAGUGAAUCAAGCAAUAUAAG